rnacentral:rRNA from 1 species
ACCCGCACAAGCGGUGGAUGAUGUGGUUUAAUUCGAUGCGACGACGAAAACCUUACCCACCUUUGACAUGUACGGAAUCCUUUAGAGAUAGAGGAGUGCUCGAAAGAGAGCCGUAACACAGGUGCUGCAUGGCUGUCGUCAGCUCGUGUCGUGAGAUGUUGGGUUAAGUCCCGCAACGAGCGCAACCCUUGUCAUUAGUUGCUACAUUCAGUUGGGCACUCUAAUGAGACUGCCGGUGACAAACCGGAGGAAGGUGGGGAUGACGUCAAGUCCUCAUGGCCCUUAUAGGUGGGGCUACACACGUCAUACAAUGGACGGUACAGAGGGUUGCCAACCCGCGAGGGGGAGCUAAUCCCACAAAGCCGAUCGUAGUCCGGAUCGCAGUCUGCAACUCGACUGCGUGAAGUCGGAAUCGCUAGUAAUCGUGGAUCAGCAUGUCACGGUGAAUACGUUCCCGGGUCUU